rnacentral:rRNA from 1 species
GACGCACGCUGGCGGCGUGCUUAACACAUGCAAGUCGAACGAAGUGGCGAACGGGUGAGUAACGCGUAAUCAACCUGCCCUUCAGAGGGGGACAACAGUUGGAAACGACUGCUCAUACCGCAUACCGACGAUGGGGAAUGCGUCUGAUUAGCUAGUUGGAGGGGUAACGGCCCACCAAGGCGAUGGUCAGUAGCCGGUCUGAGAGGGUGAACGGCAACAUGGGGACUGAGACACGGCCCAGACUCCUACGGGAGGCAGCAGUGGGGAAUCUUCCGAAAUGGACGAAAGUCUGACGGAGCAACGCCGCGUGAGUGAUGACGGCCUUCGGGUUGUAAAGCUCUGUUAAUCGGGACGCGGUACCGGAAUAGAAAGCCACGGCUAACUACGUGCCAGCAGCCGCGGUAAUUC